CCUGCCCCACACACAACAGCUGUGCCAGUUCUUGGUGGGGAGGGAAAGGGUGAACUACAGAGUUGGAAUUACAGAAUAUCCUAAGAUUUCAGGAACCCACCAGGAUUACUGAUCCAAGCUCUGGCCCUGCACAGACACCCCAACAAUCCCAUCCUUUGCAUCACUGAGGAAAUUGUUCAAAUUCUUCUUGGAGUUUGGCAGCCUUUGGGCUGUGCCCAUUUCCUGGGGAGCCUCAUCAGCACCUGACACCCUCUGGGGAGGAACAUUUUCCUGAUAUCCAACCUGAUAACCCCAGCUUUAUCUUUGGCUGGAUUGUACUACCUUGGGAACAGGAGUCUUGGAACAGAACAGCACUGAUGCAGAGACUGUCAGUCAGGGAGAAGUCAGUCUUGUUCUUCCUUUAAUCAUGUGGGCUUUCCCCUCUCCAAUUCUUGGUGACUUUCCUCCUACAGGAAAUGAGUAGGAUCUUCUGGCUCUGACUAUUAUAACAUUUUACCACAA